CAUCAUUGAUUUUCUCUUAGAUCUGAAGCCAUCAUCACAGUGAAGAUCCUGCACCAGAUUCUUUCAACACUUGUUUGUGUCCCAGCUUUAAAUCUCAGUUCAUUACUCACAGAUUUGCACUGGAUAACUGAGUCAUAAGAUCCAAUAGAAACUCAAAUUUCAGAUUUUGUGUGUUCUUCAUUAGUAUGGGAGCAACAUGAUGCAGCAUCUGUGGCCAGAUGAUCAGAAGAAGACCUUCCUCUUUGUCUUGGAGGUUGGAACUGAGAAUGAUGCUCGUCUGUGCCAGAGAGAAGUCAUGGACAAUCAGAAGCUAACAGCUGUGCAGUUUAUCUGUGCAGUUUAUCUAUAUAGUUCUAUAAAGAACUAUAGAACCGUGUACCAACCCCUCCUCCACACAACACAACUGAGGGUCUCAAACACAUUAAGAAGACAAACAGUUCAACAAAUGAACUCAUGACAAGGCACACCUGUUAAUUCAAACUAUUCCAGAUGACAACCUCAUGAAGCUGAUUGAGAGAAUGCCAAGAGUGGGCGAAGCUGUCAUCGUCAUGUCAAAAGGUGGGCAGCAGUCUUGAGAUGAUGAUCCUGGCAUUGGUUCUCUUCUUAACGGUAUCUCGAAGUAAUCUGAAAUGCUCCUUGAGGACU